rnacentral:rRNA from 1 species
CCUACGGGAGGCAGCAGUGAGGAAUAUUGGUCAAUGGACGCAAGUCUGAACCAGCCAUGCCGCGUGCAGGAAGACGGCUCUAUGAGUUGUAAACUGCUUUUGUACGAGGGUAAACGCAGAUACGCGUAUCUGUCUGAAAGUAUCGUACGAAUAAGGCUCGGCUAACUCCGUGCCAGCAGCCGCGGUAAUACGGAGGAUUCAAGCGUUAUCCGGAUUUAUUGGGUUUAAAGGGUGCGUAGGCGGUCGGAUAAGUUAGAGGUGAAAUCCCGAGGCUUAACUUCGGAAUUGCCUCUGAUACUGUUCGGCGAGAGAGUAGUUGCGGUAGGCGGAAUGUAUGGUGUAGCGGUGAAAUGCUUAGAGAUCAUACAGAUCACCGAUUGCGAAGGCAGCUUACCAAGCUACUUCUGACGUUGAGGCACGAAAGCGUGGGGAGCAAACAGGAUUAGAUACCCUUGUAGUC